UACGUAGGGGGCGAGCGUUGUCCGGAGUUACUGGGCGUAAAGGGCAUGCAGGCGGUCGGACGCGUUUUGUGUGACAGCGGGUGGCUCAACUGCCCGAGCAUACGAAAGACGGUUUGACUUGAGGGCUCGAGAGGGACACGGAAUUCCGGGUGGAGUGGUGAAAUGCGUAGAGAUCCGGAGGAACACCGAAGGCGAAGGCAGUGUCCUGGCGCGUAACUGACGCUGAGGUGCGAAAGCCAGGGGAGCGAACGGG
rnacentral:rRNA from 1 species